AAAUUGAAGAGUUUGAUCAUGGCUCAGAUUGAACGCUGGCGGCAGGCCUAACACAUGCAAGUCGAACGGUAACAGGAAUCAGCUUGCUGAUUUGCUGACGAGUGGCGGACGGGUGAGUAAUGUCUGGG
rnacentral:rRNA from 1 species